AUAUAUUUGCCGUCUAAUUGCUGAUUCUGCUGUUCGCAAUUGAAAAUUGCCCAUCUAAUCUUCUCUCUCUCGUCCACAUAUUUUUGAUUCAGCUAUUAAGGAAGAAAUGUAAUCAUUUUGCCAAGGGUAUACAAGAAGAGCCAUGUAAAAUCAUUACAAAAGCAUCCGACAUCGUUCAGCGUAUGGGAUGAUACUGUGUAAUACCUCGUUUUGGUGGCAACUUCCUCAAAAUGAAAAGGACCAGAGAUGAAGGGAGGAGAUGCAUACGAGAGCAACGGCGGCGACGAGACCGUAAAGAGCGGCGAGGAUGUGAAAAAUCCGAUCCUGCCAGAGCGUAGAUUCGUUAAUGUCAUGCCACCAAUUCGAUGCAUCUUUCAGCUUCAAAGCUAUCACCGCCUCAUCCGCACCGUAACCCUCCAUCUCUCUCUAAUCUUCUUCGUCUUCUCUUUUCUCCUUUUUCUUUUUUCUAAUAUUAAUGUUAUUAAUCCAAAUCAAUAUUUGAUUGAUUUGAUUUCUGUUCUUUUAUGUGAAAAAACAAGAUUUGAGAAUCAAAAUCAAAAUCCUAAAAGAAAAAAAGAGUUUUAAUCAAAUUUGAUUUUAUGAUUUCUGUAUUUUUGUUUUUCUUUUUUCCUUCUAAGAAAUUAUUUUGGAGCAAAGCAAACAAGGCCGACCAAGGGGAGAGGCGUGGAAGAGGAACGAAGGGGAUGAUUUUUUAUUAGUUUCUUCUUUUGUGGAAGCUACCGGCAAUUGCCGGUAAUCAGUUCGAGAAAUGACAGGAUAUGUAUGGAUGGGAUGAUCUUACGUGUCCUUAGGCAACCGUCAAUGAAUACUGUACUGCCAAAUGCCGGAAUUGUAUUGGAUAAGGCUUUAGGGUUACAGGUUUUAAGUAGACCCACUGUACGCGUGUCCUAUUACGUGUUUUAAACUGUAUAAAUUUUAUUAAUUUUUACAA